rnacentral:rRNA from 1 species
CGAUUACUGGAUUGGGAUCGGGCCGGGGCUACUAGGGGACUUAGCUAGGAAGGAGAGCUAGGGCUGGACCAAGUGUGGCCGCCGCCGCCGUCCGGCCGUGGCUUAAGGUCGUCAAGGAGUGUCUGACGGGCCGAGGGGGAGUCGGGGAGAGUGUGUCCGUGCGUUGUCGGUCAUCGUCGGGCAAGGGGCCGCCGUCGAGCGGCCGACUCGAGCAGUGAAGCGUCCGCCAUCGCCGUCGUCGUCGUGGUUCCAUGAACUACCUCGGACUAGAUUGAAACCUACUUCAUCGUCUUGUCUUGUCUAGUCGUGGACUGCUUCUCCUACUUCUACGAAAGCAGCAGCUCCUCUAACCCCUAAGAAGUCUACUGGCUGUCCGUCUCGGCUGGCACCGCAACCUUGGGUUCUUCCCCUACUACAAGUCGUCGCUCCUACUACGACAGUCCAAGAUGUUUCGAAUACGGUCUUUUUUCCCGAAACCACAGUAUUCUUCCUGCUGGUCUGUGCCUCUUCUGUUUUACGAAUGAAUAAAGUGCGAACGAACAUUGUCUGUUCCCUUCCGAGUCAUGAGUCGUUUCUUGAGUAAGUUCGGAUUAGGCAGCUGUUCCUACGUUACGGGUCGAUUUUCAUUAAAGAGAGCAGCACCCCUUUUGAAAACAUAGUGCUGACAAUGCGAACUGGUGUUAGUAGGAUAUUCAGGUUCGUUUCGGUCUAAAGACUCUACAGUAUUCUUUCACCUGAACGUAAGGUUCUCUUCCGAUCUUAACUUACUAGUUCGUCCUCGUGCAUACUUGUUCUUAAAACCAAGAGGACAAUACCUUCGACCGACCAUACCUUUAGAACUCAAACCACUUUUCCUUACGUGAUUGAUAAACGUUCUCUUUUCUUCGGACUUUGAACCACGACCUCUACGUGUACGGGAAAUAGUCAUAAAAGAGGUAUACGUCAGUUUUCUAGGUCGAAAAAAGGUACAAUACCUACACCGGCUCCUACCUGCUGACUCUUUACAGAAAACCCGUCUACGUUCUUCAUCCCGACGUAUGCUCAGAAUAACCCUACAGUAGUGUAAACUAUGAUGUAUGGAUUGUUUGUUCAUAUGUUAUGGCGAGCGAUGAAAACAACCGUAUUUAGUAGUACCUCUUAGACAAGAUAAUCCAACACCAGAAGACAGGUUACUUCUGUGGCUCUGAAAACAAACCGACAAAUUUAGAACCGAUACGACAUACAGUACGUUUGGUGGUUUACGAUAUUAGUGGCUGGUUACGUUUGGUUACGUCUUACGAUAACUUCUUCAAAAGGGAGUUCGAGCAGUAUCUACCACACGUACAGUAUAGUACUUCUUCUAAGGACUUUUGGAAUUACCCAUACUUUUGUAAUUUAGAUGUAACAGUUUACACCACAUACUAAGGAACUGGUUUGUACCAAAACUGUUUCGAACCCACCUCUACUAGUUAUUUAUACUAGAAGUCCUCUUACUUACCGAACGACCUAAUAUACUAUUAUUUUUAGCUACCCAUGGUCGUAUACAUUUUCUAUGAAAGACCCGUCCUUACAGAAGUUGUUUUUCCUCACUCUCACAUUUACGAAAGAAACUACCGAUACAGUUACGAUCUUGUUGAGACUUCGUUAAACACCUCGUCAUACUUUUAAAUGAUUCUCUGUUCCAUCUCUUUCUUUUGUUCCGACUAAGAUUCAGUAAGGUUGUCGUUUAAGGUACGUAAUGAGUGAUACUGAAACUCUCUGUUAAAGUUCGUCGUAUAUGAUGACGUUUCAAAUUUCUCAAAGUUCUAGUUAAUUCUCCAUUUUAGAUAACGAUAGGUUGAGUCGACUUGUUUCUUCCUAGUUAAAAAUGUAAACCUCAGUCUCUCCUGUCGUUCUAAAAAACACUUCCCCUCCUACCGUUUCCUUUUCUCUUUUCCCAAUAAAAUCUCAAGUAACAGAACAAGUUGGUUCCCCUUACACUACACGUCACAUACACAUCCGAGAAACUUAAAGCUCCGUAGAACACAUCGGUGUAGUAAAGGCACGAACGAGAGUACCUCUAGUGUCUACAUGGAAGAUCCAUAUAUAACGUCGCUACCUCUUUCCUAUAAUUCGCGUUUGUGUGUAAAUAAUCUACGAGGAUACUACUAUACUAACUAUGUGUUCAACACGUCGCAAUACUAUUAAACACGUUCGCAAGGGUGCUUGACCGUCUCUUACCACGUCUCAGACUACGUAACGUACUGAACCACUACCUACCGGAAUUACUUAAUGUUUCAUUCUAACUGCGCAUGACACGAUCCAUCCUUCAAAUUCUCUUCCUAGGUUGAAGUUUCGUACUUCUAUGUUACUUUUUCUUUUUUUCCUUUUUUAACAUGAGUCAGGUUAGGGAUAAGCGUCACAUCCAACAGGAGGAAGUUUCUCUUUCCUUAGCUUUCACCUAGUUCACCAGUUUUUUAACUCUCGUUUCUUCGUCGUCCAUGGUUGUUUAUGUUUACUUUACGGUUCAGUUAUCUCCUCUUUCCUGUUCCGACCCUACAUGUCCCACCAAAGAUACAGUCAGGACUACGUUUCGACGAUAAACACCAGGGCUAGGCACCC